rnacentral:rRNA from 1 species
AAAUUGAAGAGUUUGAUCAUGGCUCAGAUUGAACGCUGGCGGCAGGCCUAACACAUGCAAGUCGAACGGUAACAGGAAGCAGCUUGCUGCUUUGCUGACGAGUGGCGGACGGGUGAGUAAUGUCUGGGAAACUGCCUGAUGGAGGGGGAUAACUACUGGAAACGGUGGCUAAUACCGCAUAACGUCGCAAGACCAAAGAGGGGGACCUUCGGGCCUCUUGCCAUCAGAUGUGCCCAGAUGGGAUUAGCUUGUUGGUGAGGUAACGGCUCACCAAGGCGACGAUCCCUAGCUGGUCUGAGAGGAUGACCAGCCACACUGGAACUGAGACACGGUCCAGACUCCUACGGGAGGCAGCAGUGGGGAAUAUUGCACAAUGGGCGCAAGCCUGAUGCAGCCAUGCCGCGUGUAUGAAGAAGGCCUUCGGGUUGUAAAGUACUUUCAGCGGGGAGGAAGGUGUUGUGGUUAAUAACGCAGCAAUUGACGUUACCCGCAGAAGAAGCACCGGCUAACUCCGUGCCAGCAGCCGCGGUAAUACGGAGGGUGCAAGCGUUAAUCGGAAUUACUGGGCGUAAAGCGCACGCAGGCGGUCUGUCAAGUCGGAUGUGAAAUCCCCGGGCUCAACCUGGGAACUGCAUUCGAAACUGGCAGGCUUGAGUCUUGUAGAGGGGGGUAGAAUUCCAGGUGUAGCGGUGAAAUGCGUAGAGAUCUGGAGGAAUACCGGUGGCGAAGGCGGCCCCCUGGACAAAGACUGACGCUCAGGUGCGAAAGCGUGGGGAGCAAACAGGAUUAGAUACCCUGGUAGUCCACGCCGUAAACGAUGUCUACUUGGAGGUUGUGCCCUUGAGGUGUGGCUUCCGGAGCUAACGCGUUAAGUAGACCGCCUGGGGAGUACGGCCGCAAGGUUAAAACUCAAAUGAAUUGACGGGGGCCCGCACAAGCGGUGGAGCAUGUGGUUUAAUUCGAUGCAACGCGAAGAACCUUACCUGGUCUUGACAUCCACAGAACUUUCCAGAGAUGGAUUGGUGCCUUCGGGAACUGUGAGACAGGUGCUGCAUGGCUGUCGUCAGCUCGUGUUGUGAAAUGUUGGGUUAAGUCCCGCAACGAGCGCAACCCUUAUCCUUUGUUGCCAGCGGUCCGGCCGGGAACUCAAAGGAGACUGCCAGUGAUAAACUGGAGGAAGGUGGGGAUGACGUCAAGUCAUCAUGGCCCUUACGACCAGGGCUACACACGUGCUACAAUGGCGCAUACAAAGAGAAGCGACCUCGCGAGAGCAAGCGGACCUCAUAAAGUGCGUCGUAGUCCGGAUUGGAGUCUGCAACUCGACUCCAUGAAGUCGGAAUCGCUAGUAAUCGUGGAUCAGAAUGCCACGGUGAAUACGUUCCCGGGCCUUGUACACACCGCCCGUCACACCAUGGGAGUGGGUUGCAAAAGAAGUAGGUAGCUUAACCUUCGGGAGGGCGCUUACCACUUUGUGAUUCAUGACUGGGGUGAAGUCGUAACAAGGUAACCGUAGGGGAACCUGCGGUUGGAUCACCUCCUUA